UACGUAGGCAGCAAGCGUUGUUCGGAAUUACUGGGCGUAAAGGGCUCGUAGGCGGCCAACUAAGUCAGACGUGAAAUCCCUCGGCUUAACCGGGGAACUGCGUCUGAUACUGGAUGGCUUGAAUUCGGGAGAGGGAUGCAGAAUUCCAGGUGUAGCGGUGAAAUGCGUAGAUAUCUGGAGGAAUACCGGUGGCGAAGGCGGCAUCCUGGACCGACAUUGACGCUGAUGAGCGAAAGCUAGGGGAGCAAACGGG
rnacentral:rRNA from 1 species